GGCUCCACAGUGCAGUGGUUAGCAAGUCUGCUUUACAUGCAGAAGGUCCUGGGUUCGUGCCCCAGGUGGAGCCA
rfam:Pteropus alecto contig85190, whole genome shotgun sequence.